CACGAACAAUAAUUAUAGUUAAUAUUUAUUUCAGUUCAAAUUAACACAGUUUACGAUAGCAGAUACAUGAAUCGCAACUCUUUUGUUUUAUAUCCGUUACACGAAUAUUCGCGGGGUACCUAGUUAGGUAUUAAAAAUAAAAAUCAUCAGUCAGACUCGUUCGAUAUAGUGACAAUGUUUGUUCAGACAAUUUGGACGUCGCACGUGUAUUUAAAAUUGUUCGCAGCACUUAUUUACAAACAUGGCGGCCGAGUGUCGAGCGAAAACAAACGCGCGCAUAACACAUUAAUAAUAAUAAUAAUAAUAAUAAUACAAAUAAUGACAAAAUAAAAAUAUAACAUUAUUUAGAUACGAGAUACCUGUUGGCUAUUUGUUCGUGCGUGUGUUAUUAAUAAUUUUUAUUGUGUAUAACGUAGUGUAUUUCGCAUUGCACAAAAAACGUAAGGUCGGGGAAAAAUGUCAAACGACGUAGCCGACGUUUUUCUCUGGCUUAUCGGCCGCCCCGACCACCGACCGAGCGUUCAG